rnacentral:rRNA from 1 species
UACGGAAGGCAGCAGUGGGGAAUAUUGCACAAUGGGCGAAAGCCUGAUGCAGCUAUGCCGCGUGUAUGAAGAAGGCCUUAGGGUUGUAAAGUACUUUCAUCGGGGAGGAAAAACAAAACUAAUAAUUUUAUUUCUUGACGUUACCCGAAAAAGAAGCACCGGCUAACUCCGUGCCAGCAGCCGCGGUAAUACGGAGGGUGCUAGCGUUAAUCAGAAUUACUGGGCGUAAAGAGCACGUAGGUGGUUUUUUUAAGUCAGAUGUGAAAUCCCUGGGCUUAACCUGGAACUGCAUUUUGAAACUGAAAUACUAGAGUAUCGUAGAGGGAGGUAGAAUUCUAGGUGUAGCGGUGAAAUGCGUAGAUAUCUGGAGGAAUACCUGUGGCGAAAGCGGCCUCCUAAACGAAUACUGACACUGAGGUGCGAAAAGCGUGGGGAGCAAAACAGGGAUUAGAUACC